rnacentral:rRNA from 1 species
GACGAACGCUGGCGGCGUGCCUAAUACAUGCAAGUAGGACGCAGUUGCGAACGGGUGAGUAACGCGUAGGUAACUACCUAUUAGAGGGGGAUAACUAAUGGAAACGAUAGCUAAUACCGCAUACUAGUAGAUGGACCUGCGUUGUAUUAGCUAGUAGGUAGGGUAAUGGCCUACCUAGGCAACGAUACAUAGCCGGCCUUAGAUGUUGAUCUGCCAAACUGGUACUGAGGAACGGCCCAGACGCCUACGGGAGGCAGCAGUAGGGAAUCUUCGGCAAUGGGGGGAACCCUGACCGAGCAACGCCGCGUGAGUGAAGAAGGUUUUCGGAUCGUAAAGCUCUGUUGUUAAGGAAGCGGUACUUAACCAGAAAGGUACGGCUAACUACGUGCCAGCCGCCGCGGUAAUUC